rnacentral:rRNA from 13 species
CCUAACCAAAGAAAGUGAUAGUCUUGUAGUCGAAAAUUGAAACAAUCAAAUUGCAUCCCAAGUAGCAUGGAGCACGUGAAAUUCCGUGUGAAUCUGCGAGGACCACCUCGUAAGGCUAAAUAUUCCUGAAUGACCGAUAGUGAAACAGUACCGUGAGGGAAAGGUGAAAAGAACCCUGAAUAAGGGAGUGAAAUAGACCCUGAAACCAUACGCCUACAAGCGGUCGGAGCCAAUUUAUUGGUGACGGCGUGCCUUUUGCAUAAUGAGCCUACGAGUCACCGUGGCCAGCGAGGGUAAGCAUUUCAGAUGCGCACCCGUAGCGAGAGCGAGUCUUAACAGGGCGAACUAGUUGGUCGAGGUGGACGCGAAACCGUGUGAUCUACCCUUGGGCAGGUUGAAGCUUUGUUAACCCAAAGUGGAGGACCGAACCCGUUGACGUUGAAAAGUCUUGGGAUGACCUGAGGGUAGGGGUGAAAGGCCAAUCAAACUCGGAAAUA